GACGAACGCUGGCGGCGUGCUUCAUACAUGCAAGUCGAACGAGAAUCUGACUUCGGUCAGAGGAAAGUGGCGGACGGGUGAGUAAAAUGUAGGAAAUCUGCCCUAGAGAGGGGGACAACAGAGGGAAACUUCUGCUAAUACCCCAUAUGAGCGUAGCUGAAAUGCUAUCUUGAAAACUCCGGUGCUCUAGGAUGAGCCUGCAUCUGAUUAGCUAGUUGGGGGUGUAAUGGACCACCAAGGCGACGAUCAGUAGCUGGUUUUGAGAGGAUGAUCAUCCAGACUGGGACUGAGACACGGCCCAGACUCCUACGGGAGGCAGCAGUAGGGAAUCUUUCACAAUGGGCGAAAGCCUGAUGGAGCAACGCCGCGUGCAGGAUGAAGGCC
rnacentral:rRNA from 1 species